rnacentral:rRNA from 1 species
CCUACGGGAGGCAGCAGUGAGGAAUAUUGGUCAAUGGACGAGAGUCUGAACCAGCCAAGUAGCGUGAAGGAUGACUGCCCUAUGGGUUGUAAACUUCUUUUAUAUGGGAAUAAAACGUUCCACGUGUGGGAUUUUGUAUGUACCAUAUGAAUAAGGAUCGGCUAACUCCGUGCCAGCAGCCGCGGUAAUACGGAGGAUACGAGCGUUAUCCGGAUUUAUUGGGGUUAAAGGGAGCGUAGGUGGAUUGUUAAGUCAGUUGUGAAAGUUUGCGGCUCAACCGUAAAAUUGCAGUUGAAACUGGCAGUCUUGAGUACAGUAGAGGUGGGCGGAAUUCGUGGUGUAGCGGUGAAAUGCUUAGAUAUCACGAAGAACUCCGAUUGCGAAGGCAGUUCACUGGACUGCAACUGACACUGAGGCUCGAAAGUGUGGGUAUCAAACAGGAUUAGAUACCCUAGUAGUC